UAGGGAAUAUUGCAAAAUGGGCGAAAGCCCGAUGCAGCAACGCCGCGUGGGCGAUGAAGGCCUUCGGGUCGUAAAGCCCUUUUUGAGGGGAUGAGGAAGGACAGUACCCUCAGAAUAAGCCUCGGCUAACUACGUGCCAGCAGCCGCGGUAAAACGUAGGAGGCGAGCGUUAUCCGGAUUUACUGGGCGUAAAGCGCGUGCAGGCGGAUUGGAGAGUUGGAUGUGAAAGCUCCCGGCUUAACUGGGAGAGGUCGUUCAAUACUUCCAGUCUUGAGUGCAGUAGAGNGAAGUGGAAUUCCGGGUGUAGUGGUGAAAUGCGUAGAUAUCCGGAGGAACACCAGUGGCGAAAGCGGCUUCCUGGACUGUAACUGACGCUCAGACGCGAAAGCUAGGGUAGCAAACG
rnacentral:rRNA from 1 species